AGCACAUCAGCAGUAUACAAAGGUGGUGUGCUGUAGGAGAAAAUGAGGAGAUAAUAUUUGGAGACUUGGAUUCUAUUUCUGGCUUUGCUAGUGACCUCCAAAUGUGUGGGAGUUAUAUCAUUUCAGCUCUCUGAGUUUCCAUCUCCUUUUGUGCAAACUGAAACAUGUUUUCUAUGGUCUCUCUAGAGGCAAAAGGUGUUUUCAUUCUGUCUUUGUGGAAACUCUUUGUGGAGAGGCAGGAGGGUGUGGCCAUUGCUUUCUAGAGUUCUUCUCUCUCACCCUGGAGUUUUGAGCAUCAUACCUACUUAGGGCUACAGGAGCUGGCAGGGUCUGGUGCUGAUUCCAUCCAGCAUCUCACAGGACCAAAGGCCAGAGCUGUCAUGGGCAUGUCACUCCUUUGCUGGGGAGCUAUUUUUCUUCUCAUAGCAGUCCCCAUGGAUGCUGGAGUCACUCAGAACUUCAGAUACGUGCUAACAGCAACAGGUCGUGAGGUGACACUGAGAUGUGAUCAGGAUCUGGGUCAUGACUAUAUGUACUGGCUUCGAGAGGACCAAGGGUCAGGACUACAGCUGAUCUCUUAUUCUCGUGAUGUUGGCUUCACUGAAACAGAAGUCCCUCAUGGAUACAAUGCCUCCCGGAAUGAAAAGUCAUUCUUCCUGCUAACUCUCAAGCCUACAAACACAAACCAGACAUCUGGCUACUUCUGUGCUAGCAGUGAAACCACAGCAGAACAGAGUCACCUAUUUCUUGCACAAAAAAGGCAAUCAGAAGAGGUGAGAUGACUUGGCCUCCCCAGGACCCACCUUAAAAAACGGAAGGGAGAUACCAUCUCAGGAACACAUGAGAAGACCCUGGAGGCUUUUCAUCUCCGCAGCACAGACCUCUAGGCUCUAUUCCAGCCCUUCCAUUUCCAGUACUUGCUUGGGCUGCAAUGGCUCUGAGAGAAGAGAACUGAGCAGCAUGCGGAGACCACCUGGGCCACUGAGAGUUUGCCAGCUCUCUUCUUCUCUGCUCCCAGCCAUGGAGAAUAAAUAGAAUGCCUGAGGAAGAAUGUAUGCUACAGAAGAAAGACUUCUAGUCUUAGAACCAUAGAACGUGAAUUCCAGUAUUGACCCUGCCACUGAGUAUUUAGGUAAACUUAGGCAUGUCACUUAUCCUCUGCUUGCCUCAGUUUCCCCAUCUGGAAAAGGAAGAUAAUAAUAACAUCUACCUCCCAAGGCUGUUGUGAGGAUCAAAUGAUAUAUUUGUAAAGUGCUCUGCAAACCUUUAAGCACUAUCUAAAUAGUGGCUAUUAUUUCAAGUACUGUUGAUCCUUAGAACUCUCACAGCAUCUGGCUGUAGUAAUGUGUGUCUGAAGGCAUGUCUACUCCUGGUCUCUCUCUGGUGACAUGUACUGGCGACAUUAUUACAAGAGGCUUUCCUGACUGUUAUCUCCUCAGUGCCCAGCCUCUCUUCCCAUUCCAAAAGGCCUUGGCCAGCUCAUAAAUAUUUGGCCCUUGAGGGGACUGUAGACCCACCCUUCAGAGGAUUAUGGAUCCAGAACCAUCAGGUAUCUUAAAGACCAUCUAGCUCAAUGUUUUCAUCCUACAGAUGAGUAAACUGAGGCCUAGAGAAGUGAUAUGGCUUGCUUAAGACUCUGGAAUGGAGAGAAGGCCAAGGUGUUGUAGAGAGAGACCAGCAUGAAGCUUCAUGGCAUCCUAGGGAGAGUAAUGCAAACUGCAAUCACUUCAUCCUGUGGUCUCUCUACUGUUCAUAGGGCAAUCAGAAUGGAUACUAAAGAUUGGGGGGAAUCCCUUCUCUUAAUCUUUCUCACAACCUGUAGGUACAGGAGGAGGCUUGAAGGAUGGAUUGUGUUACUGACUUUUAGAAGACAAGAACACUUGACCACUUCUUUACAAUUUUCUACAAUGAUGAUGAAGGUGAUCACCUUCCUUGACUCUGCCUGAUACAUUCAUAGCUUCUUUUGAAGCUCAUCUUAUGUCAGUUUCUACAGAAAAGCUAUCCUGAUCCCCUACCUCCUCCUACCUAGUGUUAAUAUUCCACAUCCAUAAAGCUCUUGGUGUAUGCAUUGUAUUUUAUUUUCUGUGUACUUUUUCUUUUCCAAGAUAUUAAACAAGCUCUGUGAGGUCAAGGCCUAUUUCAUUUCAGUCUUCUGCAUUUGAAGAGUCAAGCAUAGACCCAGGAACACAAUAUUCAUUUAAUAAAUAGUUAUCAAAUGAACAAAUAAAUCCUGCUGUGCUAUUUAAUUAGAUAGUCUGUUGCUAAUUCCUAUCUUUUGAUAUUUGGUUGCUAAAAAGACAUUGGUGGGGGCUCAUGAUUUAAUUGAUUAUGACCAACAUGAAGUUUUAAACAUGGGGCAGUGUUUAAGAGAGUGCAGGUGGGUGA